rnacentral:rRNA from 1 species
UAGGGAAUAUUGCACAAUGGAGGAAACUCUGAUGCAGCAACGCCGCGUGAGUGAAGAAGGCCCUUGGGUCGUAAAGCUCUUUAGCCUGGAAAGAAGUGCUUAUAGGUAAACAAUCUGUAGGUGUGACGGUACCAGGAGAAUAAGGACCGGCUAAUUUCGUGCCAGCAGCCGCGGUAAUACGAAGGGUCCAAGCGUUACUCGGAAUUACUGGGCGUAAAGCGCGCGUAGGCGGCUUUGUAUGUCGAUUGUGAAAGCCCCGGGCUCAACCUGGGAACUGCAGUCGAAACUGCAAAGCAUGAAUGUUGGAGAGGUUGGGGGAAUACCUAGUGGAGAAGUGAAAUUCGUAGAGAUUAGGUGGAACACCAGAGGCGAAGGCGCCUGACUGGCCAAACAUUGACGCUGAGGCGCGAAAGCGUGGGUAGCAAACA